rnacentral:rRNA from 1 species
AUCGAACGCUGGCGGCAGGCCUAACACAUGCAAGUCGAACGAGUGGCGGAAGGGUGAGUAAUGUCUGGGAAACUGCCUGAUGGAGGGGGAUAACUACUGGAAACGGUAGCUAAUACCGCAUCCCAUCAGAUGUGCCUAGAUGGGAUUAGCUAGUGGGUGGGUUAACGGCUCACAAAGGCGACGAUCCCUAGCUGGUCUGAGAGGAUGACCAGCCACACUGGAAAUGAGACACGGUCCAGACUCAUACGGGAGGCAGCAGUGGGGAAUAUGGCAAAAUGGGCGAAAGCCUGAUGCAGCCAUGCCGCGUGUAUGAAGAAGGCCGUCGGGUUGUAAAGUACUUUCAGCGGAGAGGCGUUACCCGAAGAAGAAGCACCGGCUAACUCCGUGCCAGCAGCCGCGGUAAUAC